CCUAGCUCGAGCCCAUGUCCGUCAAUUACAUCCAACGUCCCAAAACACAGCUAGGGUUUUGCUUAUAAACUCUAACCACCCCACUCCCACAGCACGUCUCCCAUUUCUCGUCCGCCGGUUCUCAUCGGAGGACCUCCAACAAAUAGCGCAAGGUUUUCCAGUCUCGCUUAGCUGCCAUGAGAGCCAAGUGGAAGAAGAAGAGGAUGAGGAGGUUGAAGAGGAAGCGCCGAAAGAUGAGGCAGAGAUCCAAGUGAGAGCAGCAGGUGCGUGUAGCUGUUCGCAUGGCGGUUCUCGUGUCCUUUUGGAUUUUGUCAGACUUAGCGGUUUGUUUAGAAUUAAUGUGAAACCUUUGGCGUUCUUAUCUGUUUAUCUUUGCUGCAUUUCUUAAUAAUUAAAUGAAAUUUGACUGCUUUUUAUGA